ensembl:snRNA U7 U7 small nuclear RNA
GAAUGUUACAGUUUUUCAGAAUUUGUCUAACAGGUUUUCCGGUCUUCACCAGAAAGCUCCC